rnacentral:rRNA from 1 species
AAGUCGAACGAAGUAGCAAUACUUAGUGGCAGACGGGUGAGUAACAUGUGGGUAUCUGCCCUUUGGCCUGGAAUAACACGAGGAAACUUGUGCUAAUACCGGAUAAGUCUUUACGGAGAAAGCUUUAUGCACCAUUGGAUGAGCCUGCACUUGAUUAGUUUGUUGGUAGGGUAAUGGCCUACCAAGACUGUGAUCAAUAGCUGAUUUGAGAGGAUGAUCAGCCACAUUGGGACUGAGACACGGCCCAAACUCCUACGGGAGGCAGCAGUGGGGAAUCUUGCACAAUGGAGGAAACUCUGAUGCAGCGAUGCCGCGUGAGUGAAGAAGGCCCUUGGGUUGUAAAGCUCUUUCGUCGGGGAAGAAAAUGACUGUACCCGAAUAAGAAGGUCCGGCUAACUUCGUGCCAGCAGCCGCGGUAAUACGAAGGGACCUAGCGUAGUUCGGAAUUACUGGGCUUAAAGAGUUCGUAGGUUGUUGAAAAAGUUGGUGGUGAAAUCCCAGAGCUUAACUCUGGAACUGCCAUCAAAACUUUUCAGCUAGAGUAUGAUAGAGGAAAGCAGAAUUUCUAGUGUAGAGGUGAAAUUCGUAGAUAUUAGAAAGAAUACCAAUUGCGAAGGCAGCUUUCUGGAUCAUUACUGACACUGAGGAACGAAAGCAUGGGUAGCGAAGAGGAUUAGAUACCCUCGUAGUCCAUGCCGUAAACGAUGUGUGUUAGACGUUGGAAAUUUAUUUUCAGUGUCGCAGCGAAAGCGAUAAACACACCGCCUGGGGAGUACGACCGCAAGGUUAAAACUCAAAUGAAUUGACGGGGACCCGCACAAGUAGUGGAGCAUGUGGUUUAAUUCGAAGAUACGCGCGGAACCUUACCAACACUUGACAUGUUCGUCGCGACUUUAAGAGAUUAAAGUUUUCGGUUCGGCCGGACGAAACACAGUGCUGCAUGGCUGUCGUCAGCUCGUGUCGUGAGAUGUUGGGUUAAGUCCCGCAACGAGCGCAACCCUCACUUUUAGUUGCCAUCAUUUAGUUGGGCACUCUGAAA